GAUGAACGCUGGCGGCGUGCCUAAUACAUGCAAGUCGAGCGAACAGACGAGGAGCUUGCUCCUCUGACGUUAGCGGCGGACGGGUGAGUAACACGUGGAUAACCUACCUAUAAGACUGGGAUAACUUCGGGAAACCGGAGCUAAUACCGGAUAAUAUAUUGAACCGCAUGGUUCAAUAGUGAAAGACGGUUUUGCUGUCACUUAUAGAUGGAUCCGCGCCGCAUUAGCUAGUUGGUAAGGUAACGGCUUACCAAGGCAACGAUGCGUAGCCGACCUGAGGGGGUGAUCGGCCACACUGGAACUGAGACACGGUCCAGACUCCUACGGGAGGCAGCAGUAGGGAAUCUUCCGCAAUGGGCGAAAGCUUGACGGAGCAACGCCGCGUGAGUGAUGAAGGUCUUCGGAUCGUAAAACUCUGUUAUUAGGGAAGAACAAAUGUGUAAGUAACUAUGCACGUCUUGACGGUACCUAAUCAGAAAGCCACGGCUAACUACGUG
rnacentral:rRNA from 1 species